CGGGGCUUAGCGCGGUUGGCUGGCGACUGGGUAGGGAGCAGUGAUGCGCAGAGAGAAGGCGGUGGAGGGCCUCCGCGAAGCAGGGAUGCUCAGACGACAAUAAAAAGGUGCCCGAGGCCGAGCGGAUGGCGUCGUUUCCCGUUCCCGGGGUGCCGCUGCGGUGAUGCACAGAGGAGCCGGAGGAAUCGGGAAUCUGGCGGGACAGGGGAGGCACGCCCGUCCCGCUCGCGUGAGGGGGCCUGGCCGUGAGCGAUCGUGAUGGGACCGAGUCCGCGAUGCCGGCGGGGCUGACCCAUGCGACAUAAAUACAUUAUUGUGACUGACCUCUGAAGGCACUUGAGCUUGACACCAGCUGCAUCCUGACAAGUCACCCUGAAAUAACUACAUCAGAGACCAAGUUUAUCCUCAAGGUCUGUAUAAACUUCGUGAUUUCAAGAGUCUCUCUCGCUUUCCCAUCUUCACCCACUAACUCCUUUAACUAGGUCUGUCCUUUAUCAGAUAAUUGACAACAUUAGUUACAGCCUUGGAAAACCAUGACUGCAGCUAUUUAAGCUCUUUAUGGCAGGACUUAGCUUGGUUUUAGUCCCUGUAUCCCAAAUAUCUCACGCCAUAACUUAGAAACAAUAUUUUUACCUCUCUGAGUUUCUUUCCUGUCUAUAA